AUCUGUUUAUUUAAAAUAUGAGAAAUAAGUAACUAUUUAUAUAGUAAAACUUCGGAAUCGAAAUAAAAACAUAUAAAAUAUAAUAGUAAAUUAACUAAAUAAAUAACAUCUUUUUAGGUGUAUCAUUUUGAUUGCUUGAUGUGGAAUAUGGUAAUUUUAUUUUAUCCUUUUUGGUUAUUUUUUAUAAUAGAGAUACUUAGGAACUGCUAGAGAGGAAGAUUCCUUAAAUAUUCUGCUUGAGUUUGUACCUGUUGGAUCUAUCUCAUCACUAUUGGGGAAAUUCGGAUCCUUUCCUGAGUCAGUGAGUGGUUUAUACUUUAUCAACUGCGUAGAGAAUAUGAUAGGUUGUGCUUUGUUGUUGCUUCACAAUAAAGGAAUUAACGUGGAACUGUAUGGACUGUGAAAUGAGAGACAUGAUUGUGUAUUCUUGGUGCUUUUCUGAGAGAAUCAGCUUAGUUUUUAUCUAUUUGUAGAUUUUGAAGUUGUAAAGUCUAUGGAAUAAUUUUGAUUCAAAUGUCAUUUGUGGGGACAUAUUGUGGAUGAAGAACAAUAAUUUGUGGGGGCAUGGAUAAGACUAUUCUUGCCAAACUCAGCAAAAAAAAGACCUCAAAUCUGUCCAAUGACGCCCGUUAUUCCUUGAAAUAAUGAGGUUAUAAGAGUGUAUACAAAGCAGCUUUUACUGGGGCUUGAAUACCUUCAUAAUAACGGAAUUAUUCACAGGGAUAUUAAGGGUGAAACAUUCUAGUUGAUAACAAAGGGUGUAUUAAACUCGCAGACUUUGGUGCAUCCAGGAAAGUCGUGGAAUUGGCUACCAUGAAUGGAACAAAGUCUAUGAAGGGUACCCCACACUUUGCUUCUGAAUAAGAUGAGGUCGAGGUUUCAGCUAUGGUAACCUCUGCUUGAAACUUGCUAAAACUAGUAUGGAAAAGGGUGUUGACUAUCCGAAGAACGAGAUUCAACGUCUUGAGGGCAUGCUUUGAAAGGUAAUUUAUUAAUAUUAUAAAUAUAGCCGUAACAACUCAUAUGAAUAUCAUAUUAUGCAGUCUUUAAUUUUGCUUCCGACUUGCAAUAACUAACAUCAAACUGAUGAAGGGAAGAUACAAUGGAAAUAACAUUGAUA